rnacentral:rRNA from 1 species
UACGGAGGCCCCAAGCGUUGUUCGGAAUCACUGGGCUUAAAGCGGGUGUAGGCGGAAUGGUAAGUACCUUGUGAAAGCCCCGGGCUCAACCCGGGAAUUGCUCGGUAUACUGUCAUUCUUGAGGCAGGUAGGGGUGACUGGAACCUUAGGUGGAGCGGUGAAAUGCAUAGAUAUCUAAGGGAACGCCUGUGGCGAAAGCGAGUCACUGGGCCUGUCCUGACGCUGAGACCCGAAAGCGUAGGUAGCGAACGGG